GAAAUGCGAUAAGUAAUGUGAAUUGCAGAAUUCAGUGAAUCAUCGAAUCUUUGAACGCACAUUGCGCCCCCUGGUAUUCCGGGGGGCAUGCCUGUUCGAGCGUCAUUUCACCACUCAAGCCUCGCUUGGUAUUGGGCAACGCGGUCCGCCGCGUGCCUCAAAUCGACCGGCUGGGUCUUCUGUCCCCUAAGCGUUGUGGAAACUAUUCGCUAAAGGGUGUUCGGGAGGCUACGCCGUAAAACAACCCCAUUUCUAAGGUUGACCUCGGAUCAGGUAGGGAUACCCGCUGAACUUAAGA
rnacentral:misc_RNA from 1 species